rnacentral:rRNA from 1 species
UUGGACAAUGGGGGGAACCCUGAUCCAGCCAUGCCGCGUGUGUGAAGAAGGCCUUUUGGUUGUAAAGCACUUUAAGCGAGGAGGAGGCUACUCUAGUUAAUACCUAGGGAUAGUGGACGUUACUCGCAGAAUAAGCACCGGCUAACUCUGUGCCAGCAGCCGCGGUAAUACAGAGGGUGCGAGCGUUAAUCGGAUUUACUGGGCGUAAAGCGUGCGUAGGCGGCUUUUUAAGUCGGAUGUGAAAUCCCUGAGCUUAACUUAGGAAUUGCAUUCGAUACUGGGAAGCUAGAGUAUGGGAGAGGAUGGUAGAAUUCCAGGUGUAGCGGUGAAAUGCGUAGAGAUCUGGAGGAAUACCGAUGGCGAAGGCAGCCAUCUGGCCUAAUACUGACGCUGAGGUACGAAAGCAUGGGGAGCAAACAGGAUUAGAUACCCUGGUAGUCCAUGCCGUAAACGAUGUCUACUAGCCGUUGGGGCCUUUGAGGCUUUAGUGGCGCAGCUAACGCGAUAAGUAGACCGCCUGGGGAG